rnacentral:rRNA from 1 species
GAUGAACGCUGGCGGCGUGCCUAACACAUGCAAGUCGAACGAAGCACUUUGAAGUUUUCGGACAGAUGAGUGACUGAGUGGCGGACGGGUGAGUAACGCGUGGGUAACCUGCCUCAUACAGGGGGAUAACACGUUAGAAAUGACUGCUAAUACCGCAUAAGCGCACGGAGCUGCAUGGCUCAGUGUGAAAAACUCCGGUGGUAUGAGAUGGACCCGCGUCUGAUUAGCUAGUUGGUAAGGUAACGGCUUACCAAGGCGACGAUCAGUAGCCGACCUGAGAGGGUGACCGGCCACAUUGGGACUGAGACACGGCCCAAACUCCUACGGGAGGCAGCAGUGGGGAAUAUUGCACAAUGGGGGAAACCCUGAUGCAGCAACGCCGCGUGAUUGAAGAAGUAUUUCGGUAUGUAAAGAUCUAUCAGCAAGGAAGAAAAUGACGGUACUUGACUAAGAAGCCCCGGCUAACUACGUG